rnacentral:rRNA from 1 species
UCCCAGCUGUAAACGAUGCGGGCUAGGUGUUGGAGCGGCUACGAGCCGCUUCAGUGCCGCAGGGAAGCCAUUAAGCCCGCCGCCUGGGGAGUACGGCCGCAAGGCUGAAACUUAAAGGAAUUGGCGGGGGAGCACCACAAGGGGUGAAGCUUGCGGUUUAAUUGGAGUCAACGCCGGGAACCUUACCGGGGGCGACAGCAGAAUGAAAGCCAGAUUGAAGGUCUUGCUGGACGA